rnacentral:rRNA from 1 species
GAUGAACGCUGGCGGCGUGCCUAGUACAUGCAAGUCGAGCGAACGGACGAGAAGCUUGCUUCUCUGAUGUUAGCGGCGGACGGGUGAGUAACACGUGGAUAACCUACCUAUAAGGCUGGGAUAACUUCGGGAAACCGGAGCUAGUACCGGAUGAUAUUUUGAACCGCAUGGUUCAAAAGUGAAAGACGGUCUUGCUGUCACUUAUAGAUGGAUCCGCGCUGCAUUAGCUAGUUGGUAAGGUAACGGCUUACCAAGGCAACGAUGCAUAGCCGACCUGAGAGGGUGAUCGGCCACACUGGAACUGAGACACGGUCCAGACUCCUACGGGAGGCAGCAGUAGGGAAUCUUCCGCAAUGGGCGAAAGCCUGACGGAGCAACGCCGCGUGAGUGAUGAAGGUCUUCGGAUCGUAAAACUCUGUUAUUAGGGAAGAACAUAUGUGUAAGUAACUGUGCACAUCUUGACGGUACCUAAUCAGAAAGCCACGGCUAACUACGUG